rnacentral:rRNA from 1 species
UACGUAGGGGGCAAGCGUUGUCCGGAAUCAUUGGGCGUAAAGCGCGUGUAGGCGGUUCGGUAAGUCUGCUGUGAAAGUCCAGGGCUCAACCCUGGGAUGCCGGUGGAUACUGUCGGGCUAGAGUACGGAAGAGGCGAGUGGAAUUCCCGGUGUAGCGGUGAAAUGCGCAGAUAUCGGGAGGAACACCAAUUGCGAAAGCAGCUCUCUGGGACGGUACUGACGCUGAGACGCGAAAGCGUGGGGAGCGAACAGG